ensembl:lncRNA
CAGCUGAAGGUGUUUAAAGCGCACGCGGGCGUGCAGUAGUAUGGUGGGAAAGUAGUGAAUACUCUCUGUGCUGCCAGGUGCUGUCGGGACAGAUUUUCCCGUGGUAGCGGCAUCGCAGGAACAUGUGUCCCCACGGCUUUUUCUGCGGCCGCCCCCUCUGCCGACACGCUGGCGUAUAUAUGAAGCAUGAGUGGCCAAAAGCUGCCGCACACAGGCUGAGGAGGACCCGCGGCACCUGCAGCAGAGCAGUUGAACCCAGCUAUGAUGUAAGUCAGAUCUUCCAGUGGCUGGUGGCCAGUGCCGACUGGGACAGCUUCCAGCCUCAGAGGACUGCGAUUAACCCAGGAGCGGUCAAACUCGGCAGGACGCCCUCCACAACCAGCCACAGCUAUUUAUCCACUUUCCAAUGAAACCAAUUACUUUUACAGCAAGCCCCAGCGCCAACAUUAUAUGUGUUGUUCUUGCAGACCAAAAGAGUAUGGCUUUGAAAAGAGAGCCAGGCAUGAAGUAGGAAACCCUCCUGAGCUGCUCCAGCAGGCUGUAAAAUAUACCUAAAGUCAGUAUCCAUGGAGACUAGCUGGUGUGUGAGAGCAGCCUGAAGGAUACACGUGGAUAUUAUUACUAUUGCUAUUUACUGUUCUUUGUCUUUUACUUGUUAUUGUAGAGUGUUAGUUUUUACACAGUUUCCUCUGGGAUUAAUACAUGAUUCCGAUUCUGAGUAAUAGUGUUGGAGUUGCUACAAAUUUCCUUCAUGUAGCUACCAGAAGAAAUGUUUUUAAUGUAAAUCUGCUUACACCUUGCUUAUAUUUAUUUAUAUGUUUUACAAUGUGCUUAUUGCAGGACAUCACAGCUUUUAACAAAUUCUGAUAUUUUAGCUUCUUUUUUGAAAAUUAAAUUUCAACAGUUGUAAAAGUCACAGCAUGUUAACUUCAUAGAACUUUUUCAGUCAUUUUCAUCUUCUUUUCACUAUGAAAAUGACCUUGCAGAAACAGAGGGAAAUGCAAGCGCAAGGGCUUUUCUACAAAAAUUGUAUAAGAAAAAUCUAGAAAACAUCCAGUUAUUGUUUGACACAUUAAGGACGCAUUACUUCUUCCAUUAACAUUGAGCUGUGUAAGUGUAAAUGUUCAUUUUACUACUGCUACUCAAGCAAGUUUCAGUCUGAUUUUCACAGAUGCAAGAUCUCGAGCCAAUUAACUUUAAUUUAUAAUUAUUAUAAUUUAAUAUUAAUAAAAAUAUGAUUUUAUCAUUUUAUAAUUUUUAUUUGUUAUGUUAAAAUUUCUUCUCUGUUUUCAGAGUCAAGUGAUUAUAUGACUCACAAAUGCACAGAAAAUACUGCAACCAACACUGCAAAGUGCUGACAAACACAGUAAACCAAAUAGCUUAUAUAAUACAAACCAACCACAAUGGUUGCCCAGGGUAACAUGUUCACAUUGCUUUUGGCAACUGACUUGCUCUGAAAAAUACCCAAAGAUGUUGAGUGCACUGCAGUCUUACAAAUGUUAACUUCUGAGAAUCUGUGACUAAAGAUCAUUUCUGCUUUGUUUGGUGCUGAUUAGCAUUUUCCUUUACUGCUGAACGAAAAUCUAAUGAAGCUCCAUUUAAGGCUUUUGGAGGGCUUUUCUUGACAUUAGAAUCCACAGGCUAACAGUAAAAUGAGGGGGCAUAUUUUUUGAAUUAUGUUGACAAGGUUGUUUUUUUUCUGCAUCUGUCCAAUAAAUGUCAUGUUAAAGUGUUGUUAUUAGGUUACUAGUCGUAAGUAAGGAAAGGACGAGGACAGCAGACUCAGUUAAUAAAGCAGUCAUAUCACUGAUCGCUGGCUGGGCUAAUUGACAGACACAUGAAGAGAAAACUACUAAUUGAUUAUAGGCUUGUCCUAUUCUAGCGCAGGAGGUGACUGAUGGAAAAUGUGAAUUGGCCUGAGAGAUGCUUUAUGCCUAUGUCUACAUUUGGAUUUCUGUUUCGAUGAAAAACUUUCUGCACAGUGCUUUCUGCUUGAAAUUUCUACGUUCUUUAAGGUGCAAUAAAAAAAGUGGUGGUUUUUAUAGUUAUUUGUGUGUCUUGACAGUUGUGCUGUCACUUAGCAGAGGGUCUCCAGGCUUUCUAAUACAGUCCCACUGAGCUUAUAUCCAAAAGAAGUAUUUACUUUUAACCAAGUGAAGCCUGAACCAUGAAAUGUUUUUUUGAAACUGGGAUGUUUACUGAGCCUUCUGACCAAUAAAAAAUAAAUAAAUAAAUGAAAUAUCAGUUUACAUAUAUGAGCAUUGAUUUGCAUAAAUUCUGCUACAUCUGACUGUAUACAUCAGGCUUUUCAGGAAAAAUUAUACUAAGUAGGGGUCCCACAAACCCAUGUAUAAAACACGAUACUCUUGGCUUUACAGGAUCAGCUUUUCUAUUCUAAUCUGGUUUGAAUGUAGAGAACAGUGUAACUGCACAGCAUGGCCAUCACUGCCUGUCUACCUCUGAGCUGAACCAGUGAGGACAAUCCCUAAGAAAAUGUUAAGGAUUAUGACAUUUAAAUUGUGUUUUUGUUUUCUUAUAGUUUAAAUUAUUGUUAACACGCUCAUCUUUGCUAGAUAGUUCAGGCAGUAUCCAAUGUCACAGACAUUAAACUGAUGGCCAAGAAACAUUACAGACAUUAGCACAAUUUUGCCUUUAGUAACAUUUUGCUCACUGUGACGCAAUGUUUUGGAAGGAUGUUCAAACAAUACUCAUUCAAUCACACAAUUUUUUACCAGAAACGACCAUGAUUUACAUUUCAGGAACGUCUCGCACAUUUAACAAACUUUUCUGUAAACACUUUUUAAUUCUUUUUUUCUAUUAAAUUAUUGCAAUUCAUAAAGAUUUCAGGUACAUAUUUGCUUUGUUUACACUGGACUGUUAUCUCUCUUGAAGAAUUUGGCAUGCUAUGACCCACAGAGCACUACACCCGAGCAUAUAUGCAAUGGUCUUAGUUACCAUGAAACAAUGUACCAUGUAGAGUUGUAUUUGCAGUUCUGGGGACCUUCACUACUUAUUUAGAAAUGAGAAAUGUGUGUUUUACUAGGCUUGUUUCCAAAUCUUUCAGUCAGUCAGCUAGUGCAGGGCUGUGAGCGAACAUGGAAUUUUCCUCUUGAUGUCACUCCUUAUCUUAAACCUCACGCUCCAAAAAUCAGAGUUCAUCCAUUCCAAAAUUCUUUGGUGUGCCAAAAAACGAUGAUACAUGGCCUGCUAAUGGAAAACAUUCUUAAGCUAAAGGCAACUCAUCAUCACCACAUCACCAUCAUCUUCUCUCAGCUUUACCAAGCAAAGCAAAGCAAAUUGAUUUCACCAUCAUCUAGAGUAACAAGCACUGUGCUGUUCAACAGACCCAAGGCUCCCACUGUGUCCUUAAACUAUUCAUUGAGCUUUCAUUGACUUCCGGGUUGAUUAACAUUGUUUUUCCACUCCAGUUGAGCUGAAAACAUCUAUUGCAAUGAAUGAGUAAAAGUGCCUUCUGCUGUACUCGUAGCAAACAGCCAGUUCUUUGAUGUCUGACUGAAAGAACUGGUCUAACUUCCCAACUUGUGCAACAUAAAAU